rnacentral:rRNA from 1 species
UACGAAGGGCGCAAACGUUGCUCGGAAUCAUUGGGCGUAAAGCGCACGUAGGCGGCCUCAAAAGUCGGAUGUGAAAUCCCGUGGCUCAACCAUGGACGUGCAUUCGAAACUGCGAGGCUUGAGUAUGGAAGAGGGUCGCGGAAUUCCCGGUGUAGAGGUGAAAUUCGUAGAUAUCGGGAGGAACACCAGUGGCGAAGGCGGCGACCUGGGCCAAUACUGACGCUGAGGUGCGAAAGCGUGGGGAGCAAACAGG